rnacentral:rRNA from 1 species
CCCCUAGAUGUUCUGGGCCGCACGCGCGAUACACUGAACAGUUCAACAAGUCUUAACCUUGGCCGAUAGGUCUGGGUAAUCUUUGAACGCUGUUCGUGAUUGGGAUAGACCUUUGCAAUUAUGGGUCUUCAACGAGGAAUUCCUAGUAAACGCAAGUCAUCAGCUUGCAUUGAUUACGUCCCUGCCCUUUGUACACACCGCCCGUCGCACCUACCGAUUGAAUGGUCCGGUGAAAUCUCGGGACGGCGGCUUGGUCGCUUGCGUCCGACUGCUGAAACUUGAUUAAACCAUAUCAUUUAGAGGAAGGUGAAGUCGUANCA